UACAGAGGGGGCAAGCGUUGUCCGGAAUUAUUGGGCGUAAAGAGCUUGUAGGCGGUUUGUCGCGUCUGCUGUGAAAUUUCGGGGCUCAACCCCGAACUUGCAGUGGGUACGGGCAGACUAGAGUGUGGUAGGGGAGACUGGAAUUCCUGGUGUAGCGGUGAAAUGCGCAGAUAUCAGGAGGAGCACCGGUGGCGAAGGCGGGUCUCUGGGCCGAUACUGACGCUGAGGAGCGAAAGCGUGGGGAGCGAACAGG
rnacentral:rRNA from 1 species